rnacentral:rRNA from 1 species
GAAGGUGUGCUGUGAGGCAUGCUGGAGGUAUCAGAAGUGCGAAUGCUGACAUAAGUAACGAUAAAGCGGGUGAAAAGCCCGCUCGCCGGAAGACCAAGGGUUCCUGUCCAACGUUAAUCGGGGCAGGGUGAGUCGACCCCUAAGGCGAGGCCGAAAGGCGUAGUCGAUGGGAAACAGGUUAAUAUUCCUGUACUUGGUGUUACUGCGAAGGGGGGACGGAGAAGGCUAUGUUGGCCGGGCGACGGUUGUCCCGGUUUAAGCGUGUAGGCUGGUUUUCCAGGCAAAUCCGGAAAAUCAAGGCUGAGGCGUGAUGACGAGGCACUACGGUGCUGAAGCAACAAAUGCCCUGCUUCCAGGAAAAGCCUCUAAGCAUCAGGUAACAUCAAAUCGUACCCCAAACCGACACAGGUGGUCAGGUAGAGAAUACCAAGGCGCUUGAGAGAACUCGGGUGAAGGAACUAGGCAAAAUGGUGCCGUAACUUCGGGAGAAGGCACGCUGAUAUGUAGGUGAAGCGACUUGCUCGUGGAGCUGAAAUCAGUCGAAGAUACCAGCUGGCUGCAACUGUUUAUUAAAAACACAGCACUGUGCAAACACGAAAGUGGACGUAUACGGUGUGACGCCUGCCCGGUGCCGGAAGGUUAAUUGAUGGGGUUAGCGGUAACGCGAAGCUCUUGAUCGAAGCCCCGGUAAACGGCGGCCGUAACUAUAACGGUCCUAAGGUAGCGAAAUUCCUUGUCGGGUAAGUUCCGACCUGCACGAAUGGCGUAAUGAUGGCCAGGCUGUCUCCACCCGAGACUCAGUGAAAUUGAACUCGCUGUGAAGAUGCAGUGUACCCGCGGCAAGACGGAAAGACCCCGUGAACCUUUACUAUAGCUUGACACUGAACAUUGAGCCUUGAUGUGUAGGAUAGGUGGGAGGCUUUGAAGUGUGGACGCCAGUCUGCAUGGAGCCGGCCUUGAAAUACCACCCUUUAAUGUUUGAUGUUCUAACGUUGGCCCCUGAUCGGGGUUGCGGACAGUGUCUGGUGGGUAGUUUGACUGGGGCGGUCUCCUCCUAAAGAGUAACGGAGGAGCACGAAGGUUGGCUAAUCCUGGUCGGACAUCAGGAGGUUAGUGCAAUGGCAUAAGCCAGCUUGACUGCGAGCGUGACGGCGCGAGCAGGUGCGAAAGCAGGUCAUAGUGAUCCGGUGGUUCUGAAUGGAAGGGCCAUCGCUCAACGGAUAAAAGGUACUCCGGGGAUAACAGGCUGAUACCGCCCAAGAGUUCAUAUCGACGGCGGUGUUUGGCACCUCGAUGUCGGCUCAUCACAUCCUGGGGCUGAAGUAGGUCCCAAGGGUAUGGCUGUUCGCCAUUUAAAGUGGUACGCGAGCUGGGUUUAGAACGUCGUGAGACAGUUCGGUCCCUAUCUGCCGUGGGCGCUGGAGAACUGAGGGGGGCUGCUCCUAGUACGAGAGGACCGGAGUGGACGCAUCACUGGUGUUCGGGUUGUCAUGCCAAUGGCACUGCCCGGUAGCUAAAUGCGGAAGAGAUAAGUGCUGAAAGCAUCUAAGCACGAAACUUGCCCCGAGAUGAGUUCUCCCUGAGACUUUAAGUCUCCUGAAGGAACGUUGAAGACGACGACGUUGAUAGGCCGGGUGUGUAAGCGCAGCGAUGCGUUGAGCUAACCGGUACUAAUGAACCGUGAGGCUUAACCUU